CCAUCCAAUAUAAAGUCGCUUUAAAAUAAUGCGCAUUAAAAAGUUGAUGCGACACAAGUGAUGGAAAAGCGGUUAAGUCGCUUCAACGCCAGCUUUGUCGACCUCAUUUAUAUCGCUCUAAAAAGGUGGAUUGGCUAGAGAUAAGUCGACAUAAAAUUGAUGGAAAAGCGUUAAAGCGACGUAGGAAGUUCGUACAUGCGCAGUGCUGUUAUUAUAUGCGCGAGAAUUUGAAAGCUAAGUUUGGUCGAGAAAAGGCAGGCGUCAAGGAAUGGGGCUGGGGCAAAACGCUGUUUUGAUUUUUUCGAAGAAAUGGACCAGCUAGCUACUGGGUGCCAGGCCGGUCGUGGUUGCGAGGUCCUCUGCUGUUGACAGCACCGUUCCCCCUGAUGACUAAUCUGGUGUGGAAGACGAGAAAGAGGAUGAAGGGGAUGAUGAGGAAGCAGAGGGUGCUGAAGACUACAGUGGACAAGUGACCAUGGAGGAUUCAGAGCCCCCAGGCCCCACCCCAGCUGCAGCAGGAGGUAGUCGCCUGUUUCGCAGGCCACUGAAGAAAAAGUCUGUACUAGCUGCAUAGAGUCAGCAGCUGUCGGACUUACUGAAAAGGCAAGAGGCAGGAGGAGGAAGAUGGAGAGAUGCUAACUUCUCUGAGAACGUCCGUCAAGCGUCAGUUUGGAGCAUCAGAAUAACCCGCCCAUUGCCUCUUCAAGCAGCCAAGUGGGCUUACCAUUUAAUGUUAUUUAAUAUUUAAUACUAAUUAUGAAUAUUUAUUAAAUGCAUUUUUGUGAAAAAUGCCCAUGUUUGUUUGUUUUUAAUAUACAUAUUCACUUGAUGUGAAUUCUGUGGUCUUUCACAAAUGCAUGUGACGCAUCAGGUGACGCAUCAGGGUAUCUCUUAUUGCCGCUGCCUCAGUGUCCUCCUCAGCUGACUCGGGAUCUUCUCCUCUGCUUUAUAAUGUUAAAUUCAACUCUUCAAGUGUUAAUUCAACAGUACAUUAACACUAAAAUGAGUGGGACCAUAUGCUCUAAGCAGUGUUGACUUGAGACUGCAAAUUUUACCAUGUGAUAGGCAUACAACCUCAGACAAAAUAAAAAAUCACCUGUCAUGUAGGAUGUUCAUUCAGUUGAUGUUAGCUAGUCCUUUUCAGACAGGACAGGUACAGGGGUUGGCCAUGGAGGGCGGGGAGGUGUUGCUCUCACGGGUCUAGGCCUACUGUAGUAUGAUGGCCUGUAUGCUGCUCUGUGUCUGUCUGACUAGGCAGUUUUG